rnacentral:rRNA from 1 species
ACCAGCAGCUUAUUCACCUUGCAGCUCACAUCUGGUACCACACUGAAGCUAAGCAAGUGUGAGUCAAGGCAGCACCUGGAUGGGAGACCUCCUGGGAAAGUUAAGAUUGCUGCUGAAG